CCAGUAAAGAAAAGAAUAAAAAAACAGUGUCACAGAGAAGGUAGCAUUAAUUCACGCCCACAGCAAGCCGCUGCAAGCAGCCGCAGCAGUCGCCCAUGGCCGCGACAGCAACAAUCCAUAGGCGCGACUGUAGUAGCCUGUUGGAGUAGCAACUAGUGCAAGGGCAAUAAUUGCUAUAGGGGGCAGCAACCCUCAUAGGGGGAACAACCACUGCCAGGGUGCUGCACAAGAUAUAACCUGGGGCUGUAGUAACAUAGCAAGGGCGACUGCUGAUGCUGCGAUAAAACAACAAGUGUGACUACAAUACCUAGGGCUUUAACCUUGAUUUUCUCAUGAUAUUCAAUGUAUCUUGAAUUUUCUUUUAGAUCAACAUUGUACGAUUACAUGGUAUUAAGAUUUGAAAUAAUAACAAAAUUAAAAACCAAGCUUCCACUAUGGGGAUGCGAUCCCUUUAAUUGAUAUCAAAGCCACACAAUGUUAAUCCGCCAAUGUUGACGAUAAAAAGUGUUUUUAUUCUCGUAUUAUUCAUGGAUAAUCAAUUAACAAGAGUUGUUUGUAUGCAUGUAUUUAGAUUCUAUCAAGUUAUAUUAGCAAUAAUUGAGAUUUAAUAAUUUAUUGUAUAGAACCAAUGAUUGAUUCCAAAUUUGUUUUUUUAAAAAUCUCAAAAAAGGGUUUCAAUAUGUGUUCUAAGUCAAUAAUAAUUGAAUCUUAAUUUUUUCUAAUAUAGUAUGCAUAUUAUUCAUGUGAUGAAUUAUGAUGUAUGGUACUCUAUCUCUCAUGGUUGGCCAUUAGGAGUUUAUAAAGGGCAAUUGACUUGAAUUUUCUACGAUAAUGUAAGUUUCAUUGGUUUUUCUAAUUUUUAUUAUUAUUUUAGAUCAUCAUAUAAGUCCACACAUGUGGGUAUAGACCUUCUUGUAAUAUUUACAUUCUUUAAAGUUGGAAAGAUUAAAGAUCUAAUGGUGGAUGUUCAUGGAUGGUGCAAGAAGAUGGACUAUGGAAGACAUCUUAAAUUUAAUUAAAAAAAAAUCCUUGUAAGAUUUACCAUGAGAAAGAAAGAGUUAAUUGUUAUUUUACGAUUUUAUAUUGAUAUAUGAUACAUGCUAGGAUAAUAUUUAAUGAUAUAGAUUAUGAUAAUAUUAAUCAUGAUCCAUGAAUAGACUGUGACCAUGUAUUAAUUAUUAAUUUAUGAAAAAUUAAGGUCAACAUGGGCAGUGAGAUUUUAUUUUAUGCAUGUGAUGUAUAAUGUGAUCCUCUUUUUAUAAAAAUUGAGUAGGAGGGGGAUUUUAUAAAUAUUUCACGGUCUUCCAUCAUCGAUUCAUAGUAAGAUAAUGAUAGACACCUCAAGUCAUCUCUGGUGUGGCCUCCAUAGGGAGGGGGUUUAUUCUUGUUGGUUAUAAGACUGGAUUUCUUAGGUAAAAUUGGAAGAGACGAGGUGAAAAGUGAUUUUUCUACGUAAACUCUAUUCACAAUGGUUGUCUUUUGAUUCUAGAUGAUGGUAUACACUCAAUCACAAGGGAAUGAUAUUCUCCCAUAGAGUUUAAUCAUUAACUUUUGAAGACCAAUGAAGAUUGGGUAUUAUGAUUUUAUUUGAUAUGAGAUGUCUAUAUGGUAAAAUCAUAAUGGAUAUGAUCGUCCUCCUAAUCAAAUAGAUAACAUUGACUUCCCCAUGGAGUCGUGUUAUUUAUUUGGUUGAGAUCCCGAUGCAUUCAUAUUAUAAUGAAACAAGGAUACCACUAUAUUAUAAUGAAAGUAAGAAUUUAAUUUAUUUACAUCCAUAUUUAUGUAUUAUAUAUUUAUGAUUUUCAUAUGUCAUUUAAUCCACUUGCAAUCAUCUUAAAUCAAAAUAAGUUUACUAGACUGAAUUAUGUUGUUUGGAAGAGAAAUCUGGAUAUUGUACUCACUACUGAAUGGUACAAAUAUAUUUUAACUAAAGAACAUUCAAAUCUUCCCGCUGCCAAUGCACCUAGAGUGGAUUUAGAAAGAUAUAAAAAAUGGGUUAAAGUAGAUGAGAUAAAACGUUGAUAUAUUUUAGUUUCGAUGUCUUCUAUUUUACAGCAACAUCUAAAAGAUUAUUUGACUGCUAGGUAUAUGAUCCCGAGUCUCAAAGAGAUAUUCAGGGAACAAGGGCAACCUACUAGGUAGAUUACCAUGAGAACAUUGAUGAAUACUAAGAUGACUAAAGGAACUCUAGUGAAAGAACACGUUUUAAAAAUGUAUGUCCAUUUUAUCCCUCUAGAGAUCCUUGGUGGUGAGAUUGAUGCUAAAUCUCAAAAUUAUAUUAUCCUUGAAUCGCUGCCUUACUCUUUUAACCAGUUUAAGUUCAAUUGUAGUAUGAACAAAAUUGAUUUUACACUUGCUGGGCUUUUAAAUGCAUUACAAGCAAUGGAGGGUAUUAUCAAAGGCCAUCCUAGUAUUAACAAUGUGGACAAAAACUUUAUUUUCCAAGUCUUUUCCCAAGAAAAAGGAAAGCAGAAAAAGAAAAAAGCUUCUAGUAACCCCAACAAGGUUCUUAAUCCAUUUAGGGACAUAGUAAAGGGAGAAGGAAAAUGAAUGAUCUAAAACCAAAAGGAAAGUAUUUUCAUUGUGAGGUUGAGGGUUAUUGGAAGAGAAAUUUUCCAAACUACCUGGCUCAAAAAAUGGACUCAGGUGUAAUCAAAUCACUUGUUAUUUAAGUAAGCUUUAUUAUGGGUACUUUAAAUUUCUGGUGUGCAGAUUCCGGUGCAACGAAUCACAUUUGAAAUACUUUAUAAAGAUUUCAAAAAAUCAGGAAGUUAAGUGAUGGUGAGGUUACGUUGCAUCUAGGCUUGGAAGCAAGAGUUGCUGAAGUAUCUGUAAGAAUAGUGGAAUUAUUUGUUUCUACAAAUAAAAUAUUAUUUUUAUUUGAUUGUCUAUUUGUUGCCAUUUUAUUUAAUGAAAAUAUUUUUAUUAAAUUAAAUGAAUCUUUAUAUGCUUGGACAAAUUGGUUGAUGGUCUGAAUUAAAUAGCAAAUUACAGAACUUACCACAUUAAAAGAAAAAUUUCUUGAUUUAUUAAAGUUAGUUCAUACAAAUGCAUGUAGAGCCCUAAAUGUUAGGGCCAGAGGGGGUUUUGAGUAUUUUAUUACUUUUAUUGAUAAUUACUCAAGGUACCAUGUUUAUCUAUUGCACCGUAAAUCAUAAGCUUUUAAAAAGUUUAAAUAAAUUUUGGGCUGAAACGGAGAAACAACUAGAAAAGAACAUAAAGUUGCUUCGAUCCGAUUGAGAUGGCAAGUACCUCUCUAGUGACUUUAAUAAAUAUUUAUUGGAUAAUGAGAUUUUAUCCUAGUUAUACCUCAGUAGAAUGAUGUAACGGAACAAAAAUCAGACUUGUUUAGACAUGGUGCGAUGUACGAUGAAUUAUUCUUAUCGACCGAAGUUCCUAUACGGAUAUGUGUUAGAAAUAACGUUUUAUAUUCUAAACUCAAUUCCAACUAAGUCUAUUCCAAGUACUCCCACAGAGUUUUGAAAUGGUUACAAGUUUAGUAUACAACAUUACAGGAUAUGUAUUUAAGAAAAAAAACUAGGAAGUUGGAUACUAAGUCAGAAUUAUGUUAUUUCGUAGGGUAUCCUAAAGAAACUAAGGGCUAGUUAUUUUAUAAACCCAGAGAACAUAUAGUAUUAGUGAGUACUAAUGUAAUUUUUUUGAAGGACGAUUAUAUGAUAGACUGGAAGCCUAAUGAUAGAUUUGAUUUUAGGGAAUUGUCUAAUACUCCUAGAGAGCCUUUAGAAAGAAGAUAUUCAACGGAGAAUGAUCUAGAAACUACUGUUUUACCACUUUUAGAUACAUGAGAGCUACAUCGUAGUAGGAGGAUUGUUAGGUUUAUCCUUACUGGUUCAUGAUCUUAGUAUUAAGAGUCAAUUGCAAAUAGUAAAUGUAAGAUUUCAUCAUAAAGCGACAGUUUUUAAUGAUUUUACAUGUUCUUACGCUAAUCCGUCAAUAUAAUUCUAUAAUACCCAAUAUGUAACUAGAGCCACCUACUCUGAUGAUUAAGAUAAACCAUUCUAUCAUAUAGAUGUUAAUAACAGUAUUAUAGUUUUCGCAGAUAAGACUUCCAAACUCAUCUCUGAUUACGAACUAAUUUAAAGUUUACUAAAAUCAAUGAUAAUAUUUUUUGUGUGCAAAUCUCAUUUUCACAUAAUUAUUGUAUCUAUAGAUAACUUAGGGACAUAUUAUCUAAUGAUAUAAUAGAAUAACAUCCAAUUGUAUGAUAAAAUAUUUUUUUAUUCCAAAUUAUAAUUAAAUAUUUGGACAUGUGGGCAUACAAUUCCCAAAAUUGAAUUCAUUUAAAAACAUGAUGAUGCUUCAGCGGGCUUCAAAAGAGGUGAUGUGCAAGGCCUUCUCAGCAACUUUGAAGAGGUCGGUGAGAUCGUGGUUCUAUAAGCUAUCACCCAGAACUAUCGAUUUGUCUAGCAAUCUAAGUAGGCUCUUUGUCACCAAUUUAAUGGGUUGCAAGGUCAAGUAGAAGAAUGCCUCCCACCUCUUCGCUAUCCACCAGAAAAUGGAGAAGGCCUGAAGGAUUAUGUCAUGCAAUUUAAUCAAGUUGUCCUUCAAGUAGAGGAUCCCAGCCAUAAAGUCAUAAUCAUAGUAAUUAUGGAAGGUCUCCAUCCUGGCCCGUUAUUUGACUCUUUAUCGAAUAAUUUACCGAGACCUUGUUAGCACUCUCGGGUAAAUCCGAUAAAUACAUCGCCGUAGAAGAGUUGGUCGAGGUCAAGCAAAGGAGUCGAGGAAAAAAGGAUCAAAAGAGGAAAGAGCUAGAUUCACGAUGCACAGACUAUAGGGGCGACAUGAAGCACAAGAGGCAUGAGUGGGACGAGAGAUGACAUAUUAAAUAUCGACGUCCUUAGUCCCCUCCUCACCGAACUGAAGUGUUGUUACCGCCUCUUAAUACCCCUAUUGCCCAAGUACUUAUAGAGAUCAAGAAUGAGGAGUUUGAGAAAUUGCUUGGAGAGAUUGAGACUAAAUCUCUCCGAAGAAACAAAACAAAUAUUGUGAGUUUCAUAGGGAUCAUGGCCAUAAUACAGAAGAUUGUUUUUAGCUAAAGGAGUAGAUAGCUAACUUGAUCAAAAGGGGAUAUUUGGGGAAGUUCAUGGUUGAUCAUCUGAGAUCGUCCUCAUCCGAUAGAGGGUAUGCCGGCAAUAGGCCAUAUGCUGUAGACAACCAAACCAUCCACGAAGGUUUCAAAUCGAGAGGAUGCUCAACUUCAUCCUGGAAGAUGCAUGCUCGAGAGGCAAGUAGAGGAAGAAGUAUAUAACCACUCCUCGCUCAUGACUGAAGUAAGCCCUCCCAUCACUUUCAUGAACGAGGAUCUGAAGGGCUUGCAUCUGCCCUAUGACGAUGCUUUGGUCGUAUUUGCCACCGUCACUAAUUUCAAUGUCAUAGGAUCCUGAUUGAUAAUGGAAGUUCUACCGAUAUCUUGUUCAUCUUGGCAUUUGACAAGAUAAAGAUAGGGCAAGACAGGCUCCACCCAUUUCAUACUCCCUUGGUUGGAUUUUGGGGAGGAUCAAUACAACCUUUGGGUGGGUUAAACUGCCCUUAACUCUAGGGAUAGAACUGCACCAGACUUCGGUAUGGCAGGAUUUCAUUGUCGUAGACUACCAUUUGCUCCACAACGUCAUCUUGGGUCACCCCACGUUGGGUAAGAUUAAGGUUAUCACCUCUACCUAUCACUUAAUGAUGAAAUUUCCUACCUCUAUUAGGAUAGGCAAGGUGAGAGUUGAUCAGAAGGUUUUGAGGCAGUGUUUUAUCACGACAAUAUUACCAAGCAACAAUAGCAACUACGAAUAGAAGAUGCUGAGAUGGGGGACCUGAGAAACAAGAUAGGGGAUACAUCUCUCCUAGAUCCCCGUGACACCAAAAGCACCAAGCCAUUAGAAGAUGUGACUCCAAUCUCCGUAUACCCCAACCAUCCAGAUCGUCAUGUAAUGAUAGGAACCUAGUUGACUGAAUAACUAUAAGACACCUUGUUGGAAUUCCUAAAGAGAAAUUAUGAUGUGUUCGCAUGGUCACAAGGAGAUGUUCCGGGGAUAGUUCCCCGUGUCGCCGUACACAAGCUUUUUGCUACCACCAAUCACGCUUUGUUUCGUCAGAAAUGGAGGAAAUUUGCCCCUAAAUGGUUAAAAGUUAUAGAAGAGGAAGUCUCGAAGCUUGUCAAUGCCAAUGUUAUCAGAGAGUCUCACUAUCCGGAUUGGCUGACAGAACUAAGACUUAACCUCGAUCUCCUUGCUGAGAAAAGAGAACAUGCCUAGAUACGCCAAGCUGUCUAUAAUGUUGGUCUAAUAGGCAACCCAAGAGAGGGUGAAUUGGGUUUUUUAAAUUAAUUAGCAAUUUAAUUUAAUUUAAAAGUUAAUCUAAUUACUAUAACAAUAAAUUGAUUUGUGUGCAAUGUAAUAAAUGUAAGUAUGAAGUAAAAACAAGAAUAAGAGAGAGCACACCAAGAUUUAUCGAGGUUCGAUCACAACGCGUGAUCUACGUCCUCUCAAGACCUCCGCAAGAUCUUCUUCCACUACUUGCAAUCAACAAUUAUAAUAUGGGAGCUGAUUUUCAAGUGCUCAAUUCACUUUUACAACAAGAACUUAUUUCCAAAUUCUUCCAAGAGAUUUUGACCAAGACCCUAUCAAUCUUCCAAAUGUAUUUUGUCCAACUCUCACUCAAACUUUUUUGUCCAACUCUCACUCAAGGAAGGAAAUAAAUGAAGAUAUUAAAAGUGAAAACAAGUUCUUUCAAUAGAGUAGAUAUGAAUGGAAUCUCACAAUAAAUGCUAACUCUUGAAGACUAAAAGAAUUUUCAAUAAAACUUGACUUUAGAGCUUUGUAGAUGAUCAAUCAAUGCAAUAUGAUGUGUUUGCUUGGUAGUAAAUGUCUUUGGAGACUUUUAUUUAAUGAUUUGAAGGAGAUUGAAUCGUUAGUGGUAGGGGCAUUAAAUGCUAUUUCAGACAACUCUGCAUUCAAAAAUAUUACCAUUAGGUAUCGACAUUUUUUCCACGUGUCAACACUUUCUGGGUUCCAGGAGUCGACACUUCAUUUUUAGGUGUCGACACUUUAAGCUUUCACUCUUCAGUUGAAACUCACUAUCUCCAGGGUGUCAACACUUCAUGUACCAGGUGUCGACACUUGAUCAUCCAUCUUUAAGGAGUUUAGCUAUUGUCCGUAGGUGUUGACACUUCCUUUUUCAGGUGUCAAAACUUCAGGUCUGUCUUCAUGAAGUUUGGAUACUAUCCGUAGGUGUUUACACUUCCAUUUUCAGGUGUCGACACCUCAAGUCUGUCUUCAUGAAGUUUGGCUACUGUUCACAUGUGUCGACACUUCUAUUUCCAAGUAUCAACACUUUAAGUCUGUCUUCAUGGAGUUUGGCUACUGUCUGCAGGUGUCGACACUUCUAUUUCCAGUGGUCGACACUUCAAGUUUACCUUUAUAAAGUUUGGCUACUGUCUGCAGGUGUUGACACUUCUAUUUUCAGGUGUCGACACUUGAUUUCUCAAAAUUUGAAUCUUUGUUCACUGUCUUCCGGUGUCGACACUUGAUUUUCCAGAUCUAAGUUUUUGGCUACUGUCUCUAGGUGUCGACACUUCUGUGGAAGGUGUUGACACUUUCUUAUCAGAAUGUAUUUCUUUGAAUUCAUUAGCUAUUUGAGCAUCGAUUCACUUCACGAUCUUCAAGAUGUCUUCCCAUGGAUGUGUAUGAUCUUCAUUAACUUUAGUCUGGAGAGAUCUAUGAUUUCCUUUACUAGUUAAGACUAUUUUUGGAAUUUAUUCAAUAUGUCUUCUAGUCUCAAAGGUGUCGACACGACUGAACCAGGUGUUGACAAUUUUUGGCAGAAGUGUUUUGUAGUUUCCUUUUAUCAAUUUAAGUUCUAGAACUCAAUGCUUAUAGACUGCAACUUAGUAAACAUAUUAGCCAUUAGCACAACAUUUUGUUAUCAUCAAAAUCGAAGCAUUAACUCAACAUAUAAGAGUCAAGUCGCCAAGUACUUUAAUAAGAGGGUUAAACACAGGUCAUUUCAACCUGGUAGUACUUUAAUAGAAGGGUCGCCCCUAAAUGGUUAAAAAUUAUAGAAGAGGAAGUCUCAAAGCUUGUCAAUGCCAACAUUAUUAUAGAGUCUCACUAUUCGAAUUGGUUGACAAACAUUGUCGUCGCCCCAAAAAAGGGCAAAAAAUGAAGAGUUUGUGUUGAUUUCACCGACUUGAACAAAGCCUACGCUAAAGACAACUUUCCUCUCCCAAAGAUAGACUUGAUAGUUGAUGCUAAGUUAAAACAUGAACUCCUGAGUUCCAGAAUGUCUUCUCUGGAUACCACUAGAUUAAAAUGCAUCCCCUAGACGUCAAGAAAACGUUCUUCAUCACGGAAAGAUGACUGCACUAUUACAAGGUCAUGCCUUUCGGGUUGAAGAAUGUUGGGGCAAUGUACCAAAUAUUGGUCAACUAAUGUUCAAGGAACUGAUCGGGGAUAUAAUGGAAGUCUACAUCAACGACAUGCUAGUUAAAAGCCUCAAAGUAGAGAAUCACAUUGCUCAUCUAGAAAGAACUUUCAGCAUUUUAUGCCAACAUCGUAUGAUGUGAACCCCUCCAAGUGUAUCUUUAGCGUAUCAUCAUGGAAGUUCCAUGGCUUCUUGGUAACUAAGCGAGGGAUAAAAGCAAACCCCAACCAAAUACAAGUCCUAUUCAUGAUGGGCUCACCAAAAAGCAUUCACGACAUUCAACGUUUGACUAGGUGAGUGGCAACUCUCAAUAGAUUCUUUUCCAAGUCGGCUGACAAGUGUUUGCCAUUCUUCAAGAUUCUAAGGAAGAAUAAGGCCUUCAAAUGGAUGAACGAGAUAGAACUAACAUUUCAGCAACUGAAAAAAUACCUUAGGUUGCCCCUCUCUUAACAGUCCCCAGUAUAAGCGAGGAGCUCACUCUGUAUUUAUCUGUGUUGACAACAACGAUGAGUGCAGUGCUUAUUAAAGAUGGGACAAAGUCUAGAGACUGGGGUACUACGUUGGCAAAAUCCUUCUCGGAGCAAAAAAUAGAUAUUUAAAGUUUGAGAAACUCACCUAUGCACUCAUAAUCACAAUAAUGAAGCUUCAUCAUUAUUUCUAGGCACACCCCAUCGUUUUAUUUACGGACCAACCCCUUAAGAAGAUCCUUCAAUGGCUUGACACGUUGGGUUGUCUACUCAAGUGGUCCAUUGAGUUAGGCGAAUUCUACAUCAAAUAUUGGCCAAAGAUGGCUAUUAAGGCUCAGGCAUUAGCCGACUUCAUAACUCAACUUACCUAUUCCGAGGAAGAUAUUGUGAUGUUAAUUUCAUCCAAGGAGGGGAAGCCGAUGAGAAUAUUAGCGAUGUGGCAAGAUGGAAGCUAUUCAUGGACAGUCAUCUAAUCAGCGCAGCUGUAGCAUUGGCCUAAUUCUUUGAACUCCCUCAAGCGAGCAGAUGGAGUACACCAUAUGUAUUGGAUUCAAGGAAGCAGAGUAUGAGGCUCUCCUCACUGGACUAAGAGUCGCGAUAGAACUGGGAGUGGAAUCCUUGUAUAAUUACAGCGAUUUCCAGCUCGUGGUAAAUCAAGUCCAAGGAGAUUACCUUGCUAAAGAUCUCCGUAUGGUGGCAUAUUUAGACAAAGUAAAAGCUAUGAUGAUUAAGAUUAAAGAUUUUAAAAUCCAACAGAUUCCCUGAGAAGAAAACAAGCAAGCUGAUGUCUUAGCAAAUCUAGCUUCAACUUUCGAUUUCAUUACAGACAGGAAUGUCCCUCUUGAAUUCUUACCAAAGUCGAGUAUUAAUAUCGCCAAAACCAACGUUUAUCAGGCAAUAGCAAAAUUGACAUGGAUAGACAACUUCACCAAGUACCUCGAAAGUCAAAAAUUGCCAUCCAAUAAACUCCAAGCUUGCCAAAUUCAAUAUCGCUCAACAAGGUUUUGCAUUCUUUAGGGAACCUUCUAUAAGACAUCCUUCUCACGUCCUCUUUUGAGAUGUCUCUAACCAGAGAAGGCUGAAUAUGUGCUCAGGGAAAUCCAUGAAGGCUACGAUAACCAUUCCAGGGCGAGGUCACCGGUUAGAAAGAUGAUUUGUGAAUGAUAUUUCUAGACCCAAAUGGAACAAGAUGUAAUGACAUUCACCAGAAAGUUGACAAGUGCCAGAGGUUUGCUCUAAUUAACCGCCUUCCUCCUACCGAGUUGGUACCAAUGAGCAAUCCAUGGCCAUUUGCCUAUUGCAAAAUAGAUAUACUCGUACCACUACCACAAGCUCCGUUAUAGAAGAAGUUUUUGCUGAUCACCAUAGAUUGUUUUGUUUAAACCUCACAAUAUCCAAUCAUUUUUCCUCGCUCGCACAUCCUGAGGUGAACGGCUAGGUAGAGGUCACCAAUAGGACGAUCUUAAGGAACUUGAAGACAAGACUAGAGAAAUCCAAGGGAAGAUGCACGGAGGACCUCCCAAAUGUGUUGUGGGUCUACCACACGACGAGUAGGAUCCCAACGGGCAAGAUGCCAUACUCGUUGGUGUAUGGGACAGAGUCAAUCAUACUAGUAGAGAUAGGAAUGCCUAGCUUCUGUAUAUCAAAUUUUGACGAGAAACCUAAUGGGACAUAACUAAGGCUUUACAUUGAUCUCCUUGUCGAGAAAAAAGAAUGUGCCUACGUACGCCAAGCUGUUUAUAAGCAUUAAGUUGACAAGUACUUUAAUAGAAGGUUAAACACAAGUCAUUUUAACCUGGUGACCUAGUCUUUAAGGAAGUCACAUUAGCCACCAAGAAGCUUAACGCUGAGAAACUUGGUUCAACAUGGGAGGAGCCAUAUAAGGUUAUCAAGGUUUUUAGGCCAGGAACUUAUUGUUGGGAGGAUAUGAGUGGGAACAUGCUCCCUCUCCAUUAGAAUGUCGAGCACCUAAAGAAGUACUAUCAAUAACAUCUCAGGUCGUCGUGUUGUCAAGGUUGCCUUACGGUCGUCUAGAUAUUGUCAUAGCUAAUCUCCAUGUAUUUUGCCAACUAUGAUUAAUCGAUAAAGCGAGGUCGCCAAUUUAUUAUUGGUAUUAUAGAGUCGUUCCUAACUCAUCACGCCUUUAGAGUUACUAUCGCCAUGAAGAUAACAUCGUCAAUUUUGGGAUUUACUAUUCACCAAUAACAUGCCACAUUUUGCCUAAUUCUUGCCUAAUACAUUGUCAAUAAGGCAUUUCGCUAGCUGGAAUCACCAUGAUAUUUCACCAAAAAAGCAUUUCACCAAUUUAUGACUUUGUAGGUUUUAACUUAUUCUAUUCGCCCAAUCGGCUUUGAUUUUCCAAGUUCAGAUGCUUUGCAAGUCAUAUCAUCUACUUAUUAUUAGUUAUGUCGCUAGUCUACUCACCAAUUUCAAGGAUUAAAUGUUGUUCGCCAAUUAAUUUUAUUCUUUGGAUUAACAAGUUGCGUCUCGCCAAAUUACUCAGUUAUUUUAUAGACGUGUUUUGCUCUCCAAAGUCACAAAGUGGUAUUUCAUCAAGAUUAUUUUGUUAUUUUUCCAGUUUCAUGAUAUUGCCUACUUGUUACUUAGUGGUGUCACCAGAUUGUGUUUAUAUUCAACAGUAACAAGCACAUCGACAUAAGAGAAGGGGAAUGCUUUCAUUAAAAUACUGACAUUGCCAUUACAAAAAAAAAUAUAUUAGACAGGAGAUGGCUAAGACUAUUCGGGGAAAGUUGUGUUCUACACAUCUUUUCCUUCCUCUUCGUAUUCAUCUCCAUCAACAAGAUCAGGAUCGAUCUGUAGAUCAUUGAGGUCGAGGUUGGGAAAUAGAAGUUUGAUCUGCUUCUUGCACUGAUCAAAACCCUCACCAAAGUAUGAAGAAGCCACUCCUUUUAUAACCUUCUUGUAUUCCUCGAAAGCUUUGAAUUCAUCAAUAACUAACUUUGUGACGAGGACCUCUCACCUUCUCAGUUUGGCCAUCUGCUUCCCUAGCAUGUCUACAGUGGCAUCAGAUUCCUCCUUGUACCUCUUUAUCCCCUCUAACUCCUUUUCCAAGAUGGACAUGGUAGCAACAGAAUACUGCUUGUCAGCCUUGAGCUCAACCACUUUGCACUACAAAUCUUUGGCCACAUUCUGAGCUCGGGUCAUCUCGUCCUUGAUAGACAAGAAUGUGGUAUAUUAGAUCAUUUCCCCAUCUCUCAUCUCCCUAGCUUGUUCUACUAUGGAGGAGCCCAUCACCAUCGCAUGCAAAGAUAGUCUCAGUAAUACAGUGACAAAGAAACUGAAGCUAAGGAAAGGCAAGCAAAAGUUCACCAACCUUACUGGGCAUAUGAUAAAAUUGAUUGGCCACCACAUCCAAGUCCAUCAUCUCUACCAUAUUCUUAUCAGCAGGAGAGGUGAAAGCUUGGAUAAAGUUUUCCACCAUAACCGGGCUUUUGACCAUGGAAGCUUCAAGAUCCAAGACUGCUCCCGGGUUGACCGAAUUCCCUCCUCGCCACAAACCUGAUGAGGUGCCUUCUUGGAGGGAGAGCCCAUGGGUUAGACAUCGUGCAAGGUUUUCUUCUUAUCCUCGAUCUUAAAAAGAGG
rnacentral:lncRNA from 1 species